AGUGAACGCUGGCGGCGUGCCUAAUACAUGCAAGUCGAACGAAGUGGCGCACGGGUGAGUAAUAUAUAGUUAAUCUGCCCUACACAGAGGAACAACAGUUGGAAACGACUGCUACUAACUCAUAUUGUAGGAUGAGACUAUAUCGUAUAAGCUAGUUGGUAGGGUAAUGGCAUACCAAGGCUAUGACGCGUAACUGGUCUGAGAAGAUGAUCAGUCACCUUCGAACUGAGACACCGUUCAAGCUCCUACGGCAGGCAGCACUAAGGAAUAGUGCGCAAUGGGGGUGACCCUGACGCAGCAUCGCCGCGUGGAGUACUACACUUUUCGGAGCGUAAACUCCUUUUAUUAGGAAUGCGUUACCUGAUGAAUAAGCACCGGCUAACUCCGUGCCAGCAGCCGCGGUAAUUC
rnacentral:rRNA from 1 species